rnacentral:rRNA from 1 species
GCUAAACGCGAAGAACCUUACCUGGGCUUGACAUAUAGGGAAAUCUCAUAGAGAUAUGAGGUCCGCAAGGGUCCUAUACAGGUGGUGCAUGGCUGUCGUCAGCUCGUGUCGUGAGAUGUUGGGUUAAGUCCCGCAACGAGCGCAACCCUCGUUCUAUGUUGCCAGCACGUAAUGGUGGGGACUCAUAGGAGACUGCCGGGGUCAACUCGGAGGAAGGUGGGGAUGACGUCAAAUCAUCAUGCCCCUUAUGUCUUGGGCUUCACGCAUGCUACAAUGGCCGGUACAAAGGGCUGCAAUACCGUAAGGUGGAGCGAAUCCCAAAAAGCCGGUCUCAGUUCGGAUUGAGGUCUGCAACUCGACCUCAUGAAGUCGGAGUCGCUAGUAAUCGCAGAUCAGCAACGCUGCGGUGAAUACGUUCCCGGGUCUUGUACACAC